UACGAAGGGGACUAGCGUUGUUCGGAAUUACUGGGCGUAAAGCGCGCGUAGGCGGAUCGCUAAGUCAGGGGUGAAAUCCCAGGGCUCAACCCUGGAACUGCCUUUGAUACUGACGAUCUGGAGAUCGGGAGAGGUGAGUGGAAUUCCGAGUGUAGAGGUGAAAUUCGUAGAUAUUCGGAGGAACACCAGAAGCGAAGGCGGCUCACUGGCCCGAUACUGACGCUGAGGCGCGAAAGCGUGGGGAGCGAUCCGG
rnacentral:rRNA from 1 species